GACCCCGCCCCUUUCAUGGGCGGGGGCAAGGCUGGGGCAGGGGAGUCAGCAGAGGCCUCGCUCGGGCGCCCAGUGGUCCUGCCGCCUGGUCUCACCUCGCCAUGGUUCGUCUGCCUCUGCAGUGCGUCCUCUGGGGCUGCUUGCUGACCGCUGUCCAUCCAGAACCACCCACUGCAUGCAGAGAAAAACAGUACCUAAUAAACAGUCAGUGCUGUUCUUUGUGCCAGCCAGGACAGAAACUGGUGAGUGACUGCACAGAGUUCGCCGAAACGGAAUGCCUUCCUUGUGGUGAAAGCGAAUUCCUAGACACCUGGAACAGAGAGACACGCUGCCACCAGCACAAAUACUGUGACCCCAACCUAGGGCUUCAGGUCCAGCAGAAGGGCACCUCAGAAACGGACACCAUCUGCACCUGUGAAGAAGGCCGGCACUGUACGAGUGAGGCCUGUGAGAGCUGUGUCCUGCACCGCUCAUGCUCGCCCGGCUUUGGAGUCAAGCAGAUUGCUACAGGGGUUUCUGAUACCAUCUGCGAGCCCUGCCCAGUCGGCUUCUUCUCCAGUGUGUCAUCUGCUUUCGAAAAAUGUCACCCUUGGACAAGGUAUAAGCACUCAUCCCUUGUGUUUCCUGCUCUAAGAGUGGCAUGGAGCUGCCUCCAUUCUCUCCAGCCACCUGUCCUGUCCCUGCUCCCAGAGGUCUACACACACUCAUGUACUUGUGAAGCAUCUGCAGAGUGGCCUCAUGGCCAGCCAGACAGGCACGUUUCCACAUUUUUCUUGCCUCUCUCUUUGAGGUAAUAGACACUGUUGAUCUCUUGCUUCAUGAGAGCCUCCUAUCUUCGGGAUAUUGGGACACUUAUCUUAGCUUUCCUUCUGUCCCUCCUGCUUCUCCUCAGUUUUCCUCGUCUUGCUUUCACCUUACCUGGCUUUCUGGGCUCUGGGUGCUCACCCUGAGGGCCUCCCUCUCUUACCUCCAACUCCAAACCCACACCAGGUCCUGCCACUGGCUGUCUACAUGUUUUGGGAACUUACUCACUGUCUCCACUGUUGUCACUUUAGUUUGGGCCUCAUCACUGUGGUCUGGGUGAUGCCUUUUCUGCCUCCUGGCCUCCCUGCCUCUGGUCUCUCCCCUCCUGCUGGUUCUGUCUCCAUCCUCUUGCCAACAUGAGCGUUCGACAGUUUCUUUCAAAUCAUGACACUCUCCUAUUUGAGAUGCUUCCUGUCUGUCUGUUGGAACUAAGACUCCUUAGCAUGGCACCCGAUCUUCCUGUUGCAUUUCCUGCUCUCUUUCCUGCAUCACAUAGCUUCAUGCUACUUGCAAUCCUCUGAACACACUGUUCAUUCUCUUCCAUCAAACUCAUCUGCCUGGAAUACCUUAAACAUGGGCCCCAGGCCAGGCGCGGUGGCUCAUACCUGUAAUCCCCGCACUUUGGGAGGCCAAGGCAGGUGGAUCACUUGAGGUCAGGAGUUCAAGACCAGCUAGCCCACCAUGGUGAAAACCCAUCUCUACUAAAAAUACCAAAAAAUUAGCUGGGUGUGGUGGUGGGCACCUGUAAUCCCAGCUACUUGUGAGGCUGAGGCAGGAGAAUCACUUGAACCCGGAAGGUGGAGGUUGCAGUGAGCCAAGAUAGCGCCACUGCACUCCAGCCUGGGCAACAGAGCGACAUUCUGUCUCAAAAAACAAACACCUGCCCCAUUAACUUUUUGCAUUUGAUUUUUAAAAAUGGGCAAGAUAGGCACAUGGACAGAAGGCACAAAAGAGCCAAAGCGAUGUCUUUCUCCCAUCCCUGCCCCUUAGCCUCCCAGUUCUUUCUGGAGGGAGCCAUUGUUCCUUGCAUAUCUGCAUAUAAACAAACCAACACACACACACACACACACACACACACACACAAACACACACAAAAUUUCCCUCCUUUUACUUUUGCACAAAUAGGAGUAUACCAUAUACACUUUAUUUCUUAACUGUCUGCCUUUCCCUAAUAGAUUGAAAAUUCCUUAAAUGAAGAGACUUGGCCUUUUUUUUUUCUUCCAUUGAUACAUCCCCUAUACCUGGAACAGUACCUGAUGCAUGGUGGUAGGUGCUUAAAUUUUUACUGAUAAAUGUUGACUGAUAACUGGAGGCACCAGUGGUAUAGUUUUUUUUUUUUUUUUUGAGAUGGAGUCUUGCUCUGUCACCCAGGCUGGAGUGCAGUGGCGUGAUCUCAGCUCACUGCAAGCUCCACCUCCCAGGAGAAUCGCUUGAACCUGGGAGGUGGAGGUUGCAGUGAGCUGAGAUCGUGCCACUGCAUUCCAGCCAGUCUGGCGAAAGAGCGAGACUCUGUCUCACAAAAAAAAAAAAAAAAAAAAAAAAAAAAAAAAAGACUAAAGUACCUGGUUCCUUCAAAGCUUCUCUCUCUUUCUCCCACCUGAGAUGAUUUUUCCUUUGCAAUGUCCUGCGCGCAUUCCGCCCCACUCCUCCUGGGGCCACCUGGACCAGGUCUUCGUCAUCUCGUAUCUAUAUGCUUGCUGUGUCUCCUGGCUGGCCGCUCUUCUGUAAUUUCUCCUCCUCUGAGCUCUCUGGGCAGCUGAGUCCUCUCACUAGUGAAAUCGCCUGGUUGGAUGCUGAUGAGACUGACCAGCUGAAUCCAGUUGAAAACUUCACACUUGGCAGUGAUCUGGUUCUAAAGACACAAUUUUCCAUAGUUUCCUAACACCAUCCUGCAUGCCACCUGCCUGAUUUCCCCACAUCACAUCGUCCCACUUAGCGGGACUGCACUGCUGAUCCAAAUUUUACAUACUUUAGGGCCCACUCAGGUCUCGUGUCCUCAGGGAAGCCUUCUGGAAGACUCUUAAACCAGAGGUUCUCAACAGGGGUCAGUUUUGCUCCCUGUGGAACGUUUGCCAACGUCUGGACACAUUUCAUUUGUCACAAAUGGAGAGAGGGAUGCUACAGGGAUCUGGUGGAUAGAGGCCAGGGAUGCUGCUGAACAUCUGCAAUGCAUAGGACAGCCCAACCCCACCCCCACACCCCCAGUAAAUAA